CCUACGGGUGGCUGCAGUGAGGAAUAUUGGUCAAUGGACGAGAGUCUGAACCAGCCAAGUAGCGUGAAGGAUGACUGCCCUAUGGGUUGUAAACUCCUUUUAUAAAGGAAUAAAACGAGGCACGUGUGCCUUUUUGCAUUUACUUUAUGUAUAAGGAUCGGCUAACUUCGCGCCAGCAGCCGCGGUAAUACGGAGCAUGCGAGCGUUAUCCGGAUUUGUUGGGUUUAAAGGGAGCGUAGAUGGGUUGUUAAGUCAGUUGUGAAAGUCUGCGGCUCAACCGUAGAAUUGCAUUUGAUACUGGCAGUCUUGAGUACAGUUGAGGUAGGCGGAAUUCGUGGUGUAGCGGUGAAAUGCGUAGAGAUCACGAAGAACCCCGAUUGCGAAGGCAGCUUACUAGACUGUGACUGACACUGAUGCUCGAAAGUGUGGGUAUCAAACAGGAUUAGAUACCCGGGUAGUC
rnacentral:rRNA from 1 species